rnacentral:rRNA from 1 species
UACGUAGGGUGCGAGCGUUGUCCGGAAUUAUUGGGCGUAAAGGGCUCGUAGGCGGUCUGUCGCGUCGGGAGUGAAAACUCAGGGCUUAACCCUGAGCCUGCUUCCGAUACGGGCAGACUAGAGGUAUGCAGGGGAGAACGGAAUUCCUGGUGUAGCGGUGGAAUGUGCAGAUAUCAGGAGGAACACCGGUGGCGAAGGCGGUUCUCUGGGCAUUACCUGACGCUGAGGAGCGAAAGUGUGGGGAGCGAACAGG